rnacentral:lncRNA from 10 species
CCUUUUCAGCCCCUGCACCAACAGGGGUGAAGUUUUCACCAUGACAAAGAGAAGGAAGCUGGCUUAAUGAACAGGGCCAGGUACUCAGAAGACCACAGACAAGACCCAGCCCCAUGGCCUGCCCCAAAGAGUUCACAUCUCAUAAAUGAUGCUUGAAUAAUAACAAUAAUAGUAACAGCUCCCACAUGCUGAGUGUGCGCUGCUAGGACACAGCAUGUGACAGGAAUUCAGUGCCUGAAUGAAUGAGCCAAUAAAUUAAACUUUCUC